UACGAAGGGGGCUAGCGUUGCUCGGAAUUACUGGGCGUAAAGCGCACGUAGGCGGCUUUCUAAGUCGGGGGUGAAAUCCUGGAGCUCAACUCCAGAACUGCCUUCGAUACUGGAAAGCUCGAGUCCGGGAGAGGUGAGUGGAACUGCGAGUGUAGAGGUGAAAUUCGUAGAUAUUCGCAAGAACACCAGUGGCGAAGGCAGCUCUCUGGGUCCCUACCGACGCUGGGGUGCGAAAGCAUGGGGAGCGAACGAGGA
rnacentral:rRNA from 1 species